rnacentral:lncRNA from 1 species
UGGUGAUGUGGUAAAUCGAUAUAACGCUUUAUGAAUGUGACCCACUAGCAAAAACUUCUCUGUUUUGAUGUCCUUCACAAAACAAUGAGAGGGAUGAAAUUCAAAAAAUAUCUGAUUAUCCCUUGUAAAUUAUGCUACAAAAAUCAAAUUUUUACAGACAUUAGGAACAUGUAAAACAUUUUUAAGAUGUAAAAGCUUACUGUAACAGCCCAAAUUUGACCGGGCUUUAAAAUAAAUAGAGUGUUUAUUUAAACAGUCCAUUUAAACCUUUACAGGACCCAAAUACCAUGGCCCACUAACCCGUAGGCCCAAAAUUUAAAUAAACCUAAACCCAGUUACACCCAGCAGCCCGUUAGACUCAUUAUCCCUGCUAGCCUAAGUCAGACCUAACCCAUUACAUUACAGACCUUGACCCAAAACAAAACAGCCCAAAAGGCCCAACAGACUUAAGAGAAACGGGGAGUGUCUGGAAGCUUCGGGGAGUGUCUGCCAACCCCCAAAUCGAGGCCACCGUUUAAUGAGUUGUCCCAAGGGCCUUCAAUGCUCAUCAACGCCCCAAUCAUCGGUCGUCCCUUGGUCUGACCCCGAAUUACGUCAUAAAUGUCAUGACCGUCGCCAAGGCUCCAUCAGCGCCGUGAUCAGCGCGCGCUUCUACACCAGCAUGGUCACUGCCGGAUCCUUCGCUCGAUUGCCUGCACAAAAAGGAAACAGACAGCAGAUACGCGGAAAAAACAGAGCAAAGAAUGGCAAGAAAAUCGCAGCACAUCAGGAGACACAGAAUAGAAAGAAAUCUUAGAUUUCUUUCCCUGAAUAUGUAAAGGACCAAGGCUAUAAAGCCUUUCUUUUCACUUGUAAAAUACUGGGGGGCACUGGAAAAUACACAAAGAAUCAAUAAAAACUAAAGAUUCAGCAAAAAAGUUUGUUUUCGCACAUAUAUACACAGCAAGCAUUUCAAUCGAUUAAGUACUCAAAGGUGAAACUUUUAAAUACAUGUACAUACGUAUAAACCGUCAAUAAUGAAAAGGAGAAAGGUCGAACCUUUAUUUGCGUUGAAAAUCGGGGUUUGGACCUUCGACCACCGUACGGGGAGGAAUUGGUGACGGCGCGUGGACGCGUGAGGCCGAGAACUAAGUUUCGGCUCGACGUAGGCCAGAACCCAGCAUUCUCUCUCUCUCCUCUCAUUUCAGAGAGAUUUUUUAAGUAUUUUUUUUAAAACCCGGUAUAAAAU